rnacentral:rRNA from 1 species
UAUUAUGGAGACCCUGAACAAGCCCUAUCCCGUCAGAUCUCGGAAACUAAGCAAGGUUGGGCCUGGUUAGUACUUGGAUGGGAGACCACCUUGGAAUACCAGGUGCUGUAGGCG